ensembl:lncRNA
AAUAACUGCUCCAAACCUUAUGUCAUACAUGAAGAUAGCAGAAGCGACUCUGUGGAGGCUCAUGUUCUAAAUGCCAUCAAAGGUCACAGUAUGGAGUUAUCACAUGAAGAUUAAAAAAAAAAAAAUUGCAAAUAAAAAUCUCAGCAGACAAAGAUUUCUCAUAUCCAUGGAGAGGACCUACGAUUCCCCCUGCACACAGAAAUCUGAAUGGAGUCAAAUCCAGCUGGCAGCCUGCCAUGAGUGGUGUUCCCAGAGUCCUAUCCUGUUUAAUAUACUUAUUUAUGAUCUGGAUGAGGGAAUUUGAGUGUAUCUUCAGUAAGUUUGCAGAUGACGCUAAGCUGGGAGGAAGUGUUGAUGUCCCUGAAGAAGUCUCUACAGAGGGAUCUGGAUAGGAUGGAUUGAUGGGCUCAAACCAACUAACUGUAUGAGCUUCAACAAGACCAAGUGCCAAGUCCUGCUCUUGGGUCACAACAAUACAGUGCAGUGAUUCAGGCUUUGGGCAGAGCAGCUGGACAGUUGAGUAGUGGAAAAGAAUCUAGG